CCCAACCUCCCACCCGUGUAUACCGUACCCUGUUGCUUCGGCGGGCCCGCCUCACGGCCGCCGGGGGACCUCGCGUCCCCGGGCCCGCGCCCGCCGAAGACCCCAACACGAACACUGUCUGAAAAGUGCAGUCUGAGUCGAUUGUUACCAAUCAGUCAAAACUUUCAACAAUGGAUCUCUUGGUUCCGGCAUCGAUGAAGAACGCAGCGAAAUGCGAUAACUAAUGUGAAUUGCAGAAUUCAGUGAAUCAUCGAGUCUUUGAACGCACAUUGCGCCCCCUGGUAUUCCGGGGGGCAUGCCUGUCCGAGCGUCAUUGCUGCCCUCAAGCACGGCUUGUGUGUUGGGCCCCGUCCCCGGUACCCCCGGGGACGGGCCCGAAAGGCAGCGGCGGCACCGCGUCCGGUCCUCGAGCGUAUGGGGCUUUGUCACCCGCUCUGCAGGCCCGGCCGGCGCCAGCCGACCAACCCAACCAUUUUUUACAGGUUGACCUCGGAUCAGGUAGGGAUACCCGCUGAAUUAACAAU
rnacentral:rRNA from 1 species